AAUCCAGGAAGACGGAUUUUUCUUUUAUUUUUUUUGUAAUGAGAUUAUUUCUGUCUUGGACCACACAUAUUCCUGUUCAUUUUUGUCAUUGGUAUGUUUCAAGGUCCACGUGUCUUGUGCAAUAACAAGGAUAGGUGAAUAGCAGGGCAAAUAAUGAGAAAUCCAAAACCAAUCUGGAAUUGAUUGUAGUGCCCUUUGCUUUUUCUCUUUCCUUAUAUUCCUACUGAAAUGAUAUGCACUGUGAAAUGAUGAAAGAAAAGACCAGUUCAUUCUGAUGAAGAUAUGGCGCACCGCUUCAGUGAGUUUCUGAUGUUCCAACGUAAAUAGUUUAAUUUAGGAAAGGACUAUAAUUUGUCUGUUGGAGCAUCAAAACCAACCUUGACCAUCCAUGAACUCAUAUUUUCCUCUACCAAGUGAUAUGGGAUGGAACCAGUGGUGUAUGUAGGUUUGCCAUUAAAGCAGAGCUGUAGGUAACCCAGUAUAUUGAAUGUUGGCAAGAACGAUCUGUCUUGUAUUCUUAUUUGUAUAAAAUGUUUUUGUUAUGAGGCGUAAGCUCAAUUCUAUUUUUAAAAAUUCCUUUUUAAAAAAUGUGCUUCAGCUUUAUCACUUUUUUUUUUUUGGUGCAAGCAAUGAAAAAAGUUGAAGAAUGGCAGUAUGUAUGAGAGUACAUCUUAUUUGAUUCUAGGCACGUGUUUUAUUCGCUGUAACCUCAGAUGGUUUGGAAGUUAUUGUGGUUUAUAUAUUCUCAAGAUUUUGAUUAUCCUGCUCAUACUUGCCUGGCUCAGGUCAUUUUUUCAAGGAA